GUGCCUGUGGCUCAAAGGGGUAGGGCACCGGUCUCAUAUGCAGGAGGUGGUGGGUUCAAACCCCGCCACGGCCA
rfam:Otolemur garnettii contig005142, whole genome shotgun sequence.